UUUUUCCAUUCUAGUUGAUUUGCAGUGUUCUGUCAAUUUCUACUGUACAGCAAAGUGACCCAGUCAUACAUAUACACAUAUACUCUUUUUCUGACAUUAUUGUCCAUCAUGUUCCAUCAUACGUGACUAGAUAGAGUUAGUUCCCUGUGCUAUAUAGAGGAUCUCAUUGCUUAUCCACUCCAAAUGCAAUAGUUUGCAUUUAUUAACUCCAAACUCACAAUCUAUCACACUCCCUCCCUCUCCCACCUUGGCAACCACAAGUCUGUUCUCCAAGUCCAUAUGUUUCUCUUCUGUGGAAAGGUUCUUUUUGGCCAUAUAUUAGCUUCCAGCUAUUGCUGAUAUUAUAUGGUAUUUGUCUUUCUCUUUCUGGCUUACUUCACUUAGUAUGAGAGUCUCUAGUGCCAUCCAUGUUGCUGCAAGUGGCAUUAUUUUGUUCUUUUUAUGGCUGAGUAGUAUUCCAUUGUGUAUAUAUACCACAUCUUCUUAAUCCCUUCAUCUAUCAAUGGACAUUUAGGUUGUUUCCAAGUCUUGGCUAUUGCAAAUAGUGCUGCAAUGAACGUACGGGUGCAUGUAUCAUUUUCAAGGAAAGUUUUGUCUGGAUAUGUGCCCUAGAGUGGGAUUGCUGGGUCAUAUGGUACUUCUAUAUUUAGUUUCCUGAGAUACCUCCAUACUGUUUUCCAUAGUGGUUGUACCAAUUUACAUUCCCACCAACAAUGCAGGAGGGUUCUCUUUUCUCCACACACUCUCCAGCAUUUGUUAUUUGUUGACUUGUUAAUGAUGGCCAUUCUGACAGGUAGGAGGUGGUACCUCAUAGUAGUUGUGAUUUGCAUUUAUUUCUCUAAUAAUUAGUGAUGUUGAGCAUUAUUUCAUGUGUUUGUUACCCAUUUGGUUAUCUUUGGAGAAAUGUCUGUUGGGUAUUUUACCCAUUUUUUCCAUUGGGUUAUUGUCUUUUUUGUUGUUGAGUUGUAUAAGUUGUUUGUAUAUUUUAGAGAUUAAGCCCUUGUCAGUUGCAUUGUUUGAAACUAUUUUCUCUCAUUCCAUAGGAAUGUCUUUUUUUUUAUGGUUUUCUUUGCUGUACAAAACCUUGUCAGUUUGGUCAGGUCCUGAUGGUUUAUUUUUGCUUUCAUUUCUACUGCCUUGGGAAACUGAGCUAAGAAAACACUUGUACGGUUAAUGUCAGAGAAUGUUUUGCCUGUGUUCUCUUCUAGGAGUUUUAUGGUGUCUUGUCUUAUAUUUAAGUCUUUAAGGCAUUUUGAGUUUAUUGUUGUGCAUGGUGUGAUGGUCUGUUCCAAUAUCAAUGAUUUGCAAUCAGCUGUCCAGUUUUCCCAGCACCACUUGCUGAAAAGACUGUUUUUUCCCCAUUUUAUAUUCUUGCCUCCUUUGUCGAAGAUUAAAUGACCAUAGGUGUCUGGGUUUAUUUCUGGGUCCUCUAUUCUGUUCCAAUGGUCUGUAUGUCUGUUUUGAUACCAGUACCACACUGUCUUGAUUACUGUAGCUUUGUAACGUUGCCCGAAGUCUGGGAGAGUUACGCCUCCUGCUUGGUUUUUGUUCCUCAGGAUUGCUUUGGCAAUUCUGGGUCUUUUAUGGUUCCAUAUAAAUUUUUGGCUUGUUUGUUCUAGUUCUGUGAAAAUGUCAUGGGAAACUUGAUAAGGAUUGCAUUGAAUCUGUAGAUUGCUUUGGGUAUAUGGCCAUUUUUAUGAUAUUCUUCCAACCCAGGAGCAAGGAGCAUGGAACAUCUUUCCAUUUAUUUGAAUCCUCUUUAAUUUUCUUGAUUAAUGUUUUAUAGUUCUCAGCAUAUGUGUCUUUCACCUCCUUGAUUAGGUUUAAUGUCAAUUCUCUUCCUGGAACUGGGGUUAAUUUAAAUCUUCGAAUUCAUUCCCUUAACAAAUAAUUACUGAAUAACUACUUAUUAUGUAUUAGGCUAGAUAAACAAGACAUCCUGUCUUCAAAGAGCUCAAAAUCUAAUACUGUUUAAAUUAAUUUCCAUUUACAAUCUUUGUUAGGCAUAUGCUGGAGUUUACGACACAGCUAUGCUUUAACCUUCUCCAACUAAACCGAUAAACAUUUUCAAAUCUUCUAAUUCUCUGGCCAAUUUUAUUGUCAGUAUUAAUGCUCCCACUUCUCUCAAAUACAUUGAAUCCUUUAAUUUGUUGAAGAGGUGAGUUCUUCAUUUAUUUAUUCAGUUAUUUCACCCAUUUGUGUGAAGCCUUGAUCUGUGCCAGAGAGUCCAUGUGGAAGAGGCCAGCUUUAUAAAGACAAGGCAGAGUCUGACUUAGGAGAGCGCAUAGCCUUCAGAAAGCCAAGGAGGAGGAGUAAACCAAGAGAAUCCUUGGAUCCCACUGGCACUGUGGGCUGUGUAGGGAGCCAGGGGCUCCCUAGUGGACAUGAUUUCAGAUCUGGGAAUGUAUUAAGGGCCUGGCACAUUUAUGAUUAGAAACUAGGGGUUCCCACUACUUCACAGUGCUUUUGAUUUUUACUUUGUUUGUCAUUAUUUUCAUGCCUUCAUCAUUUCCACAACUUUGUCCCAGAUCAUCUCCAUUCUCCUAGAGCCACUUCAUUUAUCCCACACUAAGACCAUCUCCAAGAUGACUGUAUCACCUCCUCCUUGAGAAGCUAAAAACUAGGCAGUGAAAUUUCUCAACUCCAUUCCCCUUCUUUCAACCCAACUGUUACCUUCAGCAAAUACUUCAUCCUUUUUCCCUCUUUUCUAAAGCUAAAUUAUCCACCUGAGUGCCAAAUCUCAUCUCCAUCCAUUUUCUCAAGGACCUAAAUGAGAUCUUUCUAUUCCUCUCCUAUAUUUUUUCCCCUUUUAAUAGAAGUAUAGUUGAUUUAUAGUGUUGUGUUAGUUUACAGGUAUAGAGUAGAUGUGCAGCAAAGUGAUUCAGUUAUAUACAUAUAUCUUUUCUUCUUUUUCAGAUUCUUUUCCCAUAUAGGUUAUUAUAACAUAUUGAAUAUAGUUCCCUGUCCUAUACAGUAUUUCAUUGUUGUUUAUCUAUUUUAUAUGUAGUAGUAUGUAUAUGUUACUCUCAAAUUUCUAAUUUAUUUCACCCCUUCCCUUUCCUCUUUGAUAACCAUAAAUUUGUUUUAUAUAUCUACAAAUCUGUUUCUGUGUUGUAAAUAAGUUCAUUUGUAUUAUUUUUUUAGACUCCACAUAUGAGUGAUAUCAUAUGGUAUUUGUCUUUCUCUUUAUAUUUCACUUAGUAUGAUAAUCUCUAGGUCCUUCCAUGCUGCUGCAAAUGGCAUUAUUUCAUUAUUUUUAUGACUGAUUAAUAUUCCAUUGUAUAUAUGUACCACAUCUUUUUUUUUUAUCCCUUCAUUCUUCUGUCAAUGGACAUUUAUGUUGCUUCCAUGUCUUGGAUAUUAUGAAUAGUGCUGAAGGUAUUUGUAUUUUUUCAAAUUAUAAUUUUCUUCAGAUAGAUGCUUGGGAGUGGAACUGCAGGAUUGUAUAUGGUAACUCUAUUUUUAGUUUUUUAACGAAUCUCCAUACUGUUGUACAUAGUGGUUAUACCAAUUAACAUUCCUACCAACAGUGUAGAAGGGUUCCCUUUUCUCCACACCCUCUCCAGCAUUUAUUAUUCAUAUACUUUUUUUGGUAUUUUGUCUUUUUAGGGCUGCAUCCAUGGCGUAUGGAAAUUCCCUGGCUAGGGGUCCAAGAGAAGCUGUAGCUGCCGGCCUAUACCACAACCACAGCAACAUGGGAUGCAAGCCACGUCUGCAACCUACAACACAGCUCAGAGCAACACCUGAUCCUUAACUCACUGAGCAAGGCCAGGGAUUGAACCUAUGUCCUCAUGGAUACUAGUCAAGUUUGUUAACCACUGGGCCACACCGAAACUCCUAUUAUUUGUAUACUUUUUGAUGAUAGCCAUUCUGACUGAUUUGAGGUGAUGCCUCAUUGUGGUUUUGCUUUGCCUUUUUCUAAUAAUUAGCAAUAUUGAGCAUCUUUUCAUGUGCCUUUUGGCCAUCUGUCUGGCUUCUUUGGAGAAAUGUGUAUUUAGAACUUCUGUCCAUUUUUGAUUAGGCUGUUUGUUUUUCUUAAAAUAUUGAACUGCAUGAGCUGUUUGUAUAUUUUGGAGAUAAAUCCCUUGUCAGUUGCAUCAUUUGCAAAUGUUCUUCCAUUCUGUGUGUUGUCUUUUUGUUUUGUUUAUGGUUUCUUUUUGUGCAAAACUUCUAAGUUUAAUUAGGUCCCAUUUGUUUACUUUUGUUUUAUUUUCAUAACUCUAUGAGAUGGAUCCAAAAAGAUAUUGCUGCAAUUUAUGUCAAAGAGUGUCCUGCCUAUGUUUCUACUAGAAGUUUUAUUAUUUCUGGUCUUACAUUUAAAUUUUUUGUUUGUUUGUUUUUGUUUUUGUUUUGCUUUUUUUUUGCUUUUUAGGGCCGCACUUGUGGCAUACAGAACUUCCCAGGCUAGGUGUUGAAUCGGAGCUACAGCUGAUGGCCAUAGCCACAGCCCCAGCAAGGCCAGAUCUGAGCUGUGUCUGCAACCUAUACCACAGCUAACAUCAACACAGAACUGCUAAUCCACUCAGUGAGGACAGAGAUUGAACUUGCAUCCUCAUGGUUACUAGUCAGAUUUGUUUCCACUGAGCCACAAUGGGAACUCCCUUACAUUUAGAUCUUUAAUCCAUUUUGAAUUUAUUUUUUGUAUGAUUUUAGAGAGAGUUCAGAUUUCAUUCUUUGACAUGUAACUGUUCAGUUUUCCCAGCAGCACAUAUUGAAGAGACUGUCUUUUUUUCCAUUUAUAUUCUUACCUCCUUUGUCAUAGAUUAAUUGACCAUAGGUGCUUGGGUUUAUUUCUGGGUUUUCUAUCCUGUCCCAUUGAUCUAUAUUUCUGCUUUUGUGCCACUACUAUACACUUUUGAUUACUGUAGUUUUGCAGUAUAGUCUGAAGUCAAGGAGCCUGUUUGCUUCCUCCAGCUCUAUUUUUUCUUUCUCAAGAUUUCUUUGGCUAUUCAGUCUUUUGUAUUUCCAUACAAAUUUAACAACUUUUCAUUCUACUUCUGUGAAAAAGUCAUUAGUGGAAGUUCCCAUUUCGGUUCAGUGGUAAUGAUCCUGACUAGUAUCCAUGAGGAUAUGGGUUCAAUCCCUGGCCUUUCUCACUGGGUUAAGGAUCUGGCAUUGCCAUGAGCUGUGAUGCAGGUUGCAGAUGUGGUUUGGAUCUGGCAUUGCUGUGGCUGUGGUAUAGGCCAGCAGCUGCAGCUC
rnacentral:lncRNA from 1 species